rnacentral:rRNA from 1 species
UUCCGGUUGAUCCUGCCAGAGGUCACUGCUAUCNGGGUUCGAUUAAGCCAUGCGAGUCGAGAGGGUUCGGCCCUCGGCGUACUGCUCAGUAACACGUGGAUAACCUGCCCUAGGGGAGGGGAUAACCCCGGGAAACUGGGGAUAAUACCCUAUAGGUUACAGAUGCUGGAAUGCCCUGUAACCAAAAGCUCCGGCGCCCUAGGAUGGAUCUGCGGCCGAUUAGGUUGUUGUUGGGGUAACGGCCCAACAAGCCCGUAAUCGGUACGGGUUGUGGGAGCAAGAGCCCGGAGUUGGAUUCUGAGACACGAAUCCAGGCCCUACGGGGCGCAGCAGGCGCGAAACCUUUACAAUGCGGGCAACCGUGAUAAGGGAACCUCGAGUGCCUGUAAACGCAGGCUGUUCAGGUGUUUAAAACGCACCUGGAGAAAGGGCCGGGCAAGACCGGUGCCAGCCGCCGCGGUAAUACCGGCGGCUCGAGUGGUGGCCGCUUUUAUUGGGCUUAAAGCGUUCGUAGCUGGGUUGUUAAGUCUCUUGGGAAAUCUGGCGGCUUAACCGUCAGGCGUCUAAGGGAUACUGGCAAUCUUGGAACCGGGAGAGGUGAGGGGUACUUCGGGGGUAGGGGUGAAAUCCUGUAAUCCUCGAGGGACCACCUGUGGCGAAGGCGCCUCACCAGAACGGCUUCGACAGUGAGGGACGAAAGCUGGGGGAGCAAACCGGAUUAGAUACCCGGGUAGUCCCAGCCGUAAACGAUGCGCGUUAGGUGUAUCGGUGACACGAGUUACCGAGGUGCCGAAGG